rnacentral:rRNA from 1 species
UACGGAGGGGGCUAGCGUUGUUCGGAAUUACUGGGCGUAAAGGGCGCGUAGGCGGCACUGUUAGUCAGGCGUGAAAGUCCUGGGCUCAACCUGGGAACUGCGCUUGAUACGGCAGAGCUAGAGGAUGGAAGAGGGUCGCGGAAUUCCCAGUGUAGAGGUGAAAUUCGUAGAUAUUGGGAAGAACACCGGUGGCGAAGGCGGCGACCUGGUCCAUUACUGACGCUGAGGCACGAAAGCGUGGGGAGCAAACAGG